GUUCCAUUGUGGAGGAAAUGAGUCUGGUCUUUUGGCCUGUGGAAGCUCAGGGUCAGACAGAAACUCCUGCUCACCUGGUAAAGCUGUUGGACUCACCUGCUCAGAGCCUGUCAGGUUGGUGGGAGGAGCCAGUCGAUGUGCUGCUAUAGUGGAGGUUAAAGUCCAGGAAGAAUGGAGACCAGUGGUGAAUGAUGGCAGCUGGAUCCUGAAGACAGCAGAUGUGGUGUAUCGAGAUCUGGACUGUGGCUCUGCUGUUUAUACAAAAAGGAGAGAUGUUUCCUCACACAGACCUGUGUGGAGGAUCGGAUCUGAGUGUAUUGAGUCUGGAUCUGCACUGAGGGAAUGUGAGACAAUUUCAGCUUUUUCUUCCUCCAGCCAUCAGAUCACCUGUUCAGAAUCUGUCAGACUGGUUAAUGGGUCCAGUCUGUGUUCAGGCAGACUGGAGGUGAAGUUGAACCAGUCCUGGUCCUCAGUGUGUGAAGAUGACUUUGACCAGCAGGAUGCACAGGUGGUCUGCAGGGAGCUGGGCUGUGGGCCUCCUACAGUCCUCCAGGGGGCGCUCUAUGAAGAAAUAGAGCCUCC